GUCUAGUACUCAAGUUUGAUCCUGGCUCAGGAUGAACGCUGGCGGCGUGCUUAACACAUGCAAGUCGAACGAAGCUGUUAGAAGGAAGUCUUCGGAUGGAAUUUUGACAGACUUAGUGGCGGACGGGUGAGUAACGCGUGGAUAACCUGCCUUAUACAGGGGGAUAACGGAGAGAAAUUUCCGCUAACACCGCAUAAGACCACAGCACCGCAUGGUGCAGGGGUAAAAUAUUUAUAGGUAUAAGAUGGAUCCGCGUCCGAUUAGCUAGUUGGUGAGGUAAAGGCCCACCAAGGCGACGAUCGGUAGCCGGCCUGAGAGGGUGAACGGCCACAUUGGGACUGAGACACGGCCCAA
rnacentral:rRNA from 1 species